rnacentral:rRNA from 1 species
GAUGAACGCUGGCGGCGUGCCUAAUACAUGCCAGUCGAGCGAACAGACGAGGAGCUUGCUCCUCUGACGUUAGCGGCGGACGGGUGAGUAACACGUGGAUAACCUACCUAUAAGACUGGGAUAACUUCGGGAAACCGGAGCUAAUACCGGAUAAUAUAUUGAACAGCAUGGUUCAAUAGUGAAAGACGGUUUUGCUGUCACUUAUAGAUGGAUCCGCGCCGCAUUAGCUAGUUGGUAAGGUAACGGCUUACCAAGGCAACGAUGCGUAGCCGACCUGAGAGGGUGAUCGGCCACACUGGAACUGAGACACGGUCCAGACUCCUACUGGAGGCAGCAGUAGGGAAUCUUCCGCAAUGGGCGAAAGCCUGACGGGGCAACGCCGCGUGAGUGAUGAAGGUCUUCGGAUCGUAAAACUCUGUUAUUAGGGAAGAACAAAUGUGUAAGUAACUAUGCACGUCUUGACGGUACCUAAUCAGAAAGCCACGGCUAACUACGUG